rnacentral:rRNA from 1 species
UACGAAGGGUGCAAACGUUGCUCAGAAUUAUUGGGCGUAAAGCGCACGUAGGCGGCUUGGCAAGUCGGAUGUGAAAUCCCUCGGCUCAACCAAGGAAGUGCAUCCGAAACUGCUGAGCUUGAGUACUUAAGAGGAUCGCGGAAUUCCCGGUGUAGAGGUGAAAUUCGUAGAUAUUGGGAAGAACACCGGUGGCGAAGGCGGCGACCUGGUCCGAUACUGACGCUGAGGCGCGAAAGCGUGGGGAGCAAACAGG